rnacentral:lncRNA from 1 species
UCUUCAAAACAUGAACUUUAAUUACCUGCCAUAUUUUGACAACAACACUGACCGAUUGAAAAAAAAAUUGACGAUUAUACGAAAUUUAUGCGAAAAAAAUGAAAAAUUCUUGAACAGAAGACUAAGUUUAUGAUGUUUGUAUGCAUUGGUUCAAGAAUUGAAAGAACAUUAUUUUUCACCGGUCACUCGUUUCUUAUGACUUUAACCUUUGAUUAGGCUGCAUGCUAAAAAAAUAUACUAGUCAACAAAAGAAACGAUACAAGGCAAUGUAUUUUGCCAUAUAAAAUGAAAAUGGAUACAAUGUACUAAGCUUAAUGAUUACCUGAUGAAUAUAAUAUUUACAAAGUGUUAUGUUCUAUCAAAACCAUUGAUUUACGGCAAAAACCCGACAUAAGUUUGGAUAUUUUUGUUAUUUGGAAAAUCUCAUUUUCACCUCACAAAUUAGAAAAAAC